GUCAACGAAAAGACCCAGCUGUUCAAAGGCUAUUCUUGUGCUUAUUAUAGAAAAGCUUUUACCAGGACAGGACGUGGAGCUACACCUUUCCCUUUGAGCAGCGAUGCGGUUGGCUGUUUUGCUUUUGUUGGCGGCGCUGACAGAAGCCUCCUCUCGUCAGCCUGAGGCGCCCAACCGAGACCCCGAUGCCGCGUCCAGCAACGGGCAAGGAAGGGAACGCGGCAGAGGAGAAACCCCAAUGACCAGAGGAAACCCGAAUGGGAAUCGAGGAGACGA
rnacentral:lncRNA from 1 species